rnacentral:rRNA from 1 species
UACGUAGGUGGCAAGCGUUGUCCGGAUUUAUUGGGUUUAAAGGGUGCGUAGGCGGGUUUUAAGUCAGAGGUGAAUCUGGAGCUCAACUCCAGAACGUGCCUUUGAUACUGAAGUCUUGAGUAUGGGAGAGGUGAGUGGAACUGCGAGUGUAGAGGUGAAAUUCGUAGAUAUUCGCAAGAACACCAGUGGCGAAGGCGGGUCUCUGGGCCGUAACUGAUGCUGAGGAGCGAAAGCGG